ACUCAUCUAAAAGCACUCAGAGAAUUGGGAGUAUCUAUCAAAUUCAUCACUACUAAAAAUAUACAUACAUUUGUUAUACCCACUUAUAUUCGAUAUCGAUGAAUUGUAGCAGGUCAACUUUGUAAACACAUAACUUUUUUAGUUUAUUUGGACUCUCUCAAUUUGCUGAAAAUGGAUUACGUUACCAAAAUGGAGGCACUGAAUAAGAAAUCCUUGGAACUACGGGAGCGGGCACUUAUUCUUAAAGAUACAUAUCGUCGUUUAUCAAUAGAAUUGGAAAUACUUAAACUGCACGUUGUUGCUUCAAAGAGAAGGGCAAGUGAUGAUUUAGAUAUUGCUGAGUGGAGUGACUGGAGUGAUGACCAAAAUGCUACAUCAUCUGCUGUACCUGACUCAAAUAAAUGUGCAGAUCUAGAACUGGUGUCACCAAAUCAGGACAACGAAAACGACGAAAACAAUUCCAAUGUCGAUCCUCCAGCAGAUGAAGAAAAGUAGACCCCCUGACGAACUGUCCACUAACGAGAACAUCUAAACUUCACGUAAUGAAACUGAUGACAAUUUUUCUAUGAAAUUUUAAAAAUUUAUUGUAUUAAAGCUAUAAGAAAUGAAAGUGUUCAAAUAAAUGAUUUAAUAAUA